rnacentral:rRNA from 1 species
CAGAACUCUGACCAGUGAUGGGAUGAGUGCUUUUAUUAGAUCAAAACCAAUCGGCGGAGGGCCUCGCGUCCGAAGUCGUUAAUUUUGAUGAAUCUGGAUAACUUUUGCCGAUCGCACGGUCCAGCACCGGCGACGCAUCUUUCAAAUGUCUGCCUUAUCAACUUUCGAUGGUAGUUUCUGCGACUACCAUGGUUGUCACGGGUAACGGGGAAUCAGGGUUCGAUUCCGGAGAGGGAGCCUGAGAAACGGCUACCACAUCCAAGGAAGGCAGCAGGCGCGCAAAUUACCCACUCCCGGCACGGGGAGGUAGUGACGAAAAAUAACGAUACGGGACUCUUACGAGGCCUCGUAAUCGGAAUGAGUACACUUUAAAUAUUUUAACGAGGAACAAUUGGAGGGCAAGUCUGGUGCCAGCAGCCGCGGUAAUUCCAGCUCCAAUAGCGUAUACUAAAAUUGUUGCGGUUAAAAAGCUCGUAGUUGCAUUUGUGCGCCGCGCUGUCGGUGCACCGCAUCCGCGGUGAUACUGACACGUUUGCGGAGCAUAUCGUCGGUGAG